AUCGGAAUUACUGGGCGUAAAGCGCGCGUAGGUGGUUCAGCAAGUUGGAUGUGAAAUCCCCGGGCUCAACCUGGGAACUGCAUCCAAAACUACUGAGCUAGAGUACGGUAGAGGGUGGUGGAAUUUCCUGUGUAGCGGUGAAAUGCGUAGAUAUAGGAAGGAACACCAGUGGCGAAGGCGACCACCUGGACUGAUACUGACACUGAGGUGCGAAAGCGUGGGGAGCAAACA
rnacentral:rRNA from 1 species